rnacentral:tRNA from 1 species
GCCUUCGUGGUGUGAUGGGUAGCACACUCGGCGCGUAUUCGAGAGGUCUGAGGUUCGAAUCCCGGUGAGGGCA